GGGGGCCCGCACAAGCGGUGGAGCAUGUGGUUUUAAUUCGAAGCAACGCGAAGAACCUUACCAGGCCUUGACAUGCAGAGAACUUUCCAGAGAUGGAUUGGUGCCUUCGGGAACUCUGACACAGGUGCUGCAUGGCUGUCGUCAGCUCGUGUCGUGAGAUGUUGGGUUAAGUCCCGUAACGAGCGCAACCCUUGUCCUUAGUUACCAGCACGUUAUGGUGGGCACUCUAAGGAGACUGCCGGUGACAAACCGGAGGAAGGUGGGGAUGACGUCAAGUCAUCAUCGGCCCUUACGGCCUGGGCUACACACGUGCUACAAUGGUCGGUACAAAGGGUUGCCAAGCCGCGAGGUGGAGCUAAUCCCAUAAAACCGAUCGUAGUCCGGAUCGCAGUCUGCAACUCGACUGCGUGAAGUCGGAAUCGCUAGUAAUCGUGAAUCAGAAUGUCACGGUGAAUACGUUCCCGGGCCUU
rnacentral:rRNA from 1 species